ACCUUUUGUAUAAUGGGUCAGCGACUUAUAUUCUGUAGCAAGGUUAACCGAAUAGGGGAGCCGAAGGGAAACCGAGUCUUAACUGGGCGUUAAGUUGCAGGGUAUAGACCCGAAACCCGGUGAUCUAGCCAUGGGCAGGUUGAAGGUUGGGUAACACUAACUGGAGGACCGAACCGACUAAUGUUGAAAAAUUAGCGGAUGACUUGUGGCUGGGGGUGAAAGGCCAAUCAAACCGGGAGAUAGCUGGUUCUCCCCGAAAGCUAUUUAGGUAGCGCCUCGUGAAUUCAUCUCCGGGGGUAGAGCACUGUUUCGGCAAGGGGGUCAUCCCGACUUACCAACCCGAUGCAAACUGCGAAUACCGGAGAAUGUUAUCACGGGAGACACACGGCGGGUGCUAACGUCCGUCGUGAAGAGGGAAACAACCCAGACCGCCAGCUAAGGUCCCAAAGUCAUGGUUAAGUGGGAAACGAUGUGGGAAGGCCCAGACAGCCAGGAUGUUGGCUUAGAAGCAGCCAUCAUUUAAAGAAAGCGUAAUAGCUCACUGGUCGAGUCGGCCUGCGCGGAAGAUGUAACGGGGCUAAACCAUGCACCGAAGCUGCGGCAGCGACGCUUAUGCUUUGUUGGGUAGGGGAGCGUUCUGUAAGCCUGUGAAGGUGUGCUGUGAGGUAUGCUGGAGGUAUCAGAAGUGCGAAUGCUGACAUAAGUAACGAUAAAGCGGGUGAAAAGCCCGCUCGCCGGAAGACCAAGGGUUCCUGUCCAACGUUAAUCGGGGCAGGGUGAGUCGACCCCUAAGGCGAGGCCGAAAGGCGUAGUCGAUGGGAAACAGGUUAAUAUUCCUGUACUUGGUGUUACUGCGAAGGGGGGACGGAGAAGGCUAUGUUGGCCGGGCGACGGUUGUCCCGGUUUAAGCGUGUAGGCUGGUUUUCCAGGCAAAUCCGGAAAAUCAAGGCCGAGGCGUGAUGACGAGGCACUACGGUGCUGAAGCAACAAAUGCCCUGCUUCCAGGAAAAGCCUCUAAGCAUCAGGUAACAUCAAAUCGUACCCCAAACCGACACAGGUGGUCAGGUAGAGAAUACCAAGGCGCUUGAGAGAACUCGGGUGAAGGAACUAGGCAAAAUGGUGCCGUAACUUCGGGAGAAGGCACGCUGAUACGUAGGUGAAGCGACUUGCUCGUGGAGCUGAAAUCAGUCGAAGAUACCAGCUGGCUGCAACUGUUUAUUAAAAACACAGCACUGUGCAAACACGAAAGUGGACGUAUACGGUGUGACGCCUGCCCGGUGCCGGAAGGUUAAUUGAUGGGGUUAGCGCAAGCGAAGCUCUUGAUCGAAGCCCCGGUAAACGGCGGCCGUAACUAUAACGGUCCUAAGGUAGCGAAAUUCCUUGUCGGGUAAGUUCCGACCUGCACGAAUGGCGUAAUGAUGGCCAGGCUGUCUCCACCCGAGACUCAGUGAAAUUGAACUCGCUGUGAAGAUGCAGUGUACCCGCGGCAAGACGGAAAGACCCCGUGAACCUUUACUAUAGCUUGACACUGAACAUUGAGCCUUGAUGUGUAGGAUAGGUGGGAGGCUUUGAAGUGUGGACGCCAGUCUGCAUGGAGCCGACCUUGAAAUACCACCCUUUAAUGUUU
rnacentral:rRNA from 1 species